rnacentral:rRNA from 1 species
CAAUUAUUUAUAGCCUCUGGCUAUAGGAAAUUGUUAGUGGCAGACGGGUGAGUAAUGCGUAGGAAUCUACCUAGUAGUACGGAAUAGCCAUUAGAAAUGGUGGGUAAUACUGUAUAAUCCCCGAGGGGGAAAGAUUUAUCGCUAUUAGAUGAGCCUACGUUAGAUUAGCUAGUUGGUGAGGUAAUGGCUUACCAAGGCUAUGAUCUAUAGCUGGUCUGAGAGGACGAUCAGCCACACUGGAACUGAGAUACGGUCCAGACUCCUACGGGAGGCAGCAGUGGGGAAUAUUGGACAAUGGGCGAAAGCCUGAUCCAGCUAUGCCGCGUGAGUGAAGAAGGCCUUCGGGUUGUAAAACUCUUUCAAUAGGGAAGAUAAU